CAUCUUAAAGAGAAAAAGUUUGGUUAAAAUAUCAUAGUUUAAAACACUAUACUCGCUUUCUCAUAAGCAAGCAAUUUGCACUACCACGUGUAAUUCAUUAUGCAGCAUCAACCGUUCCACACAUCAUCAUAUACUGUCGUUAACGUUGAUAAAGCGAAAAACUAAUAUAAGCCUAUCAUUCUAUUGAGCACAUUGGUCUUCUUGUCAAGAAGACUAAUCCAACUAAACAACCAACCAGUUCAACUAAACAACCAAAAAAAAGGUAAGUAAAAUGUUGUCAUUAUAUACACAUCAGGCGGACUGGUUCCUUCCCUUAUGUAACGUCAUUUGGCAGUAGAACAACAUCGAGAUUGACGGAAAAUGAAGCUUGUAAGAUGUCAAAAAUCUCUGCGGGACGCUUCAAAUCGUCUCACGUUAUCAAAAAAUCCGAAAGCUUUUGACGACUUUUUUUGUUAAUUUCUUGCGCUUUUCUUAUUCUUGUGACACGUUGUUAUACAAUAAACGAUUGUUCAAAUAUUUCUGAUAUUUAUUGAAGUGAUUGGAUGCGCACACGGAACUUACACAUAUUUUCUUACGAAAUGAAAGCUUUUCACAAACCGAAAAAACCUGAAAGCAAUGAGGUUGAGUCAAUCUUCACAUACACAAGUUUUUGUCUGUAUGCUUGCAAAAAUUUUAUUCAUAAGGUUUGUGGUUACUUUAAAAUUACGGCAGUAAACCGUUGAUUUCCUGAAUCCAAACCUAUUUUGACGACGCUGUAGACAUUUCGCUAGAAGCCUCCCAAUUGCGUGAGGAAAUAAGAACCGGCAUUACUUCUGCGCGUGUAAACUGAAUUGUAUUGUUUAUUUUCAAAAGAAAAGAUUUCAUUUUAAAACACUACGCCACAUUUGCAUAAAACCAAUGCAAACAAACCGUUAACAUAAUUU